rnacentral:misc_RNA from 1 species
UACAGAGGGUGCGAGCGUUAAUCGGAUUUACUGGGCGUAAAGCGUGCGUAGGCGGCUUUUUAAGUCGGAUGUGAAAUCCCCGAGCUUAACUUGGGAAUUGCAUUCGAUACUGGGGGACUUGAGUACAGAAGAGGAAAGUGGAAUUCCAUGUGUAGCGGUGAAAUGCGUAGAGAUGUGGAGGAAUACCGGUGGCGAAGGCGGCCCCCUGGACAAAGACUGACGCUGAGGCGCGAAAGCGUGGGGAGCAAACAGG